GGCCUAGGAUUUACAUUAUUGUCCGUACCAUCUGAAUUCUCUUCACAGAGAUUUUGAUGAGCUUUUAAAUAUUAUCUGAGGCCA